rnacentral:rRNA from 1 species
AUUGAACGCUGGCGGAAUGCUUUACACAUGCAAGUCGAACGGUAGAGGGGGCAACCCCUUGAGAGUGGCGAACGGGUGAGUAAUAUAUCGGAACGUGCCCAGUCGUGGGGAUAACGUAGCGAAAGUUACGCUAAUACCGCAUACGAUCUAAGGAUGAAAGCGGGGGAUCGCAAGACCUCGCGCGAUCGGAGCGGCCGAUAUCAGAUUAGGUAGUUGGUGAGGUAAAGGCUCACCAAGCCAACGAUCUGUAGCUGGUCUGAGAGGACGACCAGCCACACUGGAACUGAGACACGGUCCAGACUCCUACGGGAGGCAGCAGUGGGGAAUUUUGGACAAUGGACGCAAGUCUGAUCCAGCCAUUCCGCGUGCAGGAUGAAGGCCCUCGGGUUGUAAACUGCUUUUGUACGGAACGAAAAGGUUUGUCUUAAUACGAUGAGCUCAUGACGGUACCGUAAGAAUAAGCACCGGCUAACUACGUAGCCAGCAGCCGCGGU